UAACAACAUAACACAUGUCACACAUGACAUUUAAGACCCUAUAAAGGUAUAAUGUGCAAUUUCAGUUCAGACCAUCCCAUAAAACGUGUUCAAACAAUCAAUUGAAAGUGAAAGUACCAAACAUUGUUAGUUCUGAGGGUCAUCUUUCUUUUCUUCACAAGCAACUGUUAUAAUGCUAAUCAAGGCCAAAUCAUGUAUUUUGACUCCAUAAAUGGGUU